rfam:Salpingoeca sp. ATCC 50818 unplaced genomic scaffold supercont1.1, whole genome shotgun sequence.
GGCGGUAUAGUCUAGUGGUUAGGACUAUGGACUUUGAAUCCAUCAGCCGGGGUUCGAACCCCCGUACUGCCU